CAGUCGCCGCGGUAAAAUGAAGGGUGCAAGCGUUACUCGGAAUUACUGGGCGUAAAGGGUGCGUAGGUGGUCUUUUAAGUCCGUUGUGAAAUCCCUGGGCUCAACCUGGGAAUGGCAGUGGAUACUGGAAAGCUAGAGUGCGGUAGAGGGUAGUGGAAUUCCCGGUGUAGCAGUGAAAUGCGUAGAGAUCGGGAGGAACACCAGUGGCGAAGGCGGCUACCUGGACCAGCACUGACACUGAAGCACGAAAGCGUGGGGAGCAAACAGGAUUAGAGACCCGGGUAGUCCCUGUUUCUUAUAC
rnacentral:rRNA from 1 species